rnacentral:lncRNA from 10 species
GUAUGAACAGGGCAGGUUCUGAAAAGCUGUGUGUAAAUCUCUCAGUAUCCAUGAGCAAAGAGGCCCUAAUCAGGUGAUCACACUGCUGUGGCUGUAUCCCUCUUGUUCCAGUGAUGACUCUCACCAUCUCUACUCUGGAGGACAUGGCUGCUAUCUGGCAGUGACCGCUGCCCACAAAUAUGGAUGUGGGCUCUACCAUAAUUUCCCCUUACAGAAGAACAAAGACUAAUGGAAGGAGAGUCCAACACGGAAGAUACAUUGCUUCUGCAGUUCAAGUCCAUUUUGCUGUAGGUCACCUAUGGGCCUAGCCACCUUCCUGACUUGUCAUCAGCUUUUCUCUGUGUUGUCAGGCCCAGGUCAGGACACCUGGCUCCUCACAGUCACCGAGUCUCAAACCCAGAGAAAAAAGAAAAAAUUUCUCCUCACCUCAGACUAAUUCCUACUCACUAAGUCCUCAUUUUUUGUCCCAGGAUGAAUAUCUUCCUAGUAUAAUGGACAGUGGAGAACUUCUAUCUGUUAUAGGGAAACCCAACUACUAUAUAAAAGAGUGAGACUGGCUCUGUGAUCCCAAGAAGAAAAUAACAAAGAUGAUGCUUUUUCUAUCAUGUGGGUUAGACGGCCUUACCCUUGGGCAACUUGAUGUAAUAUUGUUUUUACAAAAGAAAUAUGUAAAGUAGGUCGAAUACAAUUUUCCAUUUCCUCUUUCACUUGACAAUACAUUUUGUAUAUCAUUCCAUAUAUGUCAACUUUAUGCUUUUUAAUAGCUGCAUGCUGUUCCAUAGUUGCAUGGUUAUACUAUAGUUUGUUGAUGAACAUUUUGGUUGUUUAAACAAAUACUGCCACAAGUAUUUAUUUCAAAAUACUUUAAUAGAUGAUGUAAAUCUAGUAAGUAUCCCAACAUUUACCAUACAACACUUUUUAAGUUGUGGUUAAAUAUAUAUAUAACAUAAAAUUUAUGAUUUUAACAAUUUUAAAGUAUAGAGUUUUGAGGUAUUACGUACAUUCACAUUGUGUGCAACAAUCACUACCAUUCAUCUUCAGGACUUUUUCAUCUUCCCCAGCUGAAACUUUGUACCCUUAAAGACUAACUCUGCAUUCCCACUUCAUUGCAGCCCCUUGCAACCACUCUUCUAUUUUCUGUCUCAAAGAACUCUACUCCUCUAGGUACCUCAUAUAAGUGGAAUAAUACAGUGUUUUUCCUUUUGUGACUGCCUUAUUUCACUUAGCAUAUGAUUUCUUCAAGGUCCACUGAUGUUGUAAGCAUGUAUCAUCAUUUCCUUCCUUUUUAAGGCUGAUAAUAUUUCACUAUAUGUAUAUACCACAUUUUGUUUAUUUAUUGGUUGAUGGAACUUGGGUUGCUUUUGACUAUUGUGAAUGAUGCUGCUAUGAAUGUAGGUAUACAAAUAUCUGUUUCAAUUCAUGCUUUCAAGUUUUUGGGGUUUAUAUUCAGAAGUGAAAUUAUUGGAUCAUAUGGUGAUUCUGUUUAAUUUUUUAAGGAACUGCUACAUUGUUACCCAUAGUAGCAUUUGAGUCAUUUUUAAUAAAAUAAAAGCCAUAUAUAUUUUUUUAUUUAUUUAUAUGUAUCUGUAUUAUAUAUAUUUAUAUAUCUGUAUUUUAUAUAUAUAAAUAGCUUAUAUAUAUAUAAAUAGCCAUAUAUAAAUGGCCCUAUCCUACAGAAAUGCUUUACAUAAAGGUACAGAUAUCUGUAGGAUAGGGCUGGGAACAGUGGCUCACACUUGUAAUCCCAGCACUUUGGGAAGUCGAGGGGGAAGGAUAGUUUGAGGCCAGGUGUUCAAGACUAGCCUGGUCAACAUAAUGAGACCCGGUCUGUACAAAAAAUAAAAAGUUAGCUAGGUAUGAUGGUGUGUGCCUAUAGUUCUAGCUACUCAGGAGGCUGAAGCAGGAGGACUGCUUAAGCCCAGAAGUUCAAGGUUACAGUGAGCUAUGAUAGCACCACUGUACUCCAGCCUAGGCAACACAGUGAGACCCUUUCUCUAAAAAUAAAUAAAAUGAAACAAGAUACUAUAUAUUACUGUUUGUUUUUUGCUGUUCCAUUGGAAUACAUCUCUUUUACUGAGCUGAGAACAUGCCAUUUUAUUUAUUGUGGCUUGGUAUCACCUUUAAACAUAUAUUAAAUCUAAUCCUUCUCUCUAUAACUCUUAUUAAAAUUGUUGUUGUUCUUGGCUAUUCUCACUUGAAUAUUCUCUCAGAUAAACUUCAGAAACAUUUGUUCAAGUUUAUUAAAAUUCCAUUAGGAUGCCAUUGAAUUUACAGAUUAAUUUAGGAAAAUUGACAACUGAAAAUAU